rnacentral:tRNA from 1 species
GGAACGGUGUCCGAGCUGGUCUAAGGAGCACGACUGGAAAUCGUGUAAUGGGGCCUACCCCCAUUCGUGGGUUCGAAUCCCACCCGUUCCG